CAAUAGCGUAUAUUUAAGUUGUUGCAGUUAAAAAGCUCGUAGUUGGAUUUCGGGUGGGACGCAGCGGUCUCGCAUUGCGUUUGUACUGCUGCAGCCCUCCUUCUUGCCGGGGGCGGCCUCUCGGACUUCACUGUCUGGGGGUCAGAAUCGGCGAUGUUACUUUGAGUAAAUUAGAGUGUUCAAAGCAAGCUUACGCUCUGAAUAUAAUAGCAUGGGAUAACACGACAGGACUCUGGCCUAUCGUGUUGGUCUAUAGGACCAGAGUAAUGAUUAAGAGGGACAGUCGGGGGCAUUCGUAUUCCGUUGUCAGAGGUGAAAUUCUUGGAUUUACGGAAGACGAACUUCUGCGAANGNAUUUGUNAAGGAUGUUUNCAUUA
rnacentral:rRNA from 1 species